UCUGAUUUUUACAUUGCAGCACUGGGGCAUUAUUUGAUCUAUUAACUCUACUUUUUCAAACAGUCUGAGGAUGUGGACACUGGGUCUUCAGGUGGUCGUCAUCUGUGUUUUCCUUCAGGUGCCAGGCUGUUUUCCAUCAUGCCUCAUUAUUGGCUCUGUAGCUAACUGUGGCUCCAAGAACCUGCGCUGGGUCCCUCCUCUUCCUCCUCACAUCACCCACCUGUUCCUGGAGAUGAACCACAUCUCUGAGAUGAACUCCUCCUCCCUGUCGGGGCUGGAGCAGUUGCAGGAGCUGGACCUCGGACGGCAGUAUGUGCCACUUGUGAUCAGAAACAACUCCUUCAGCGGUCAAAGCCGACUGAGGAAGCUGGUGCUCGGGUUCAACAUCGGCCUUCAGCUGGAACCUCAGGCUUUUAUUGGACUGUCCGGUCUGCAGAAUCUCCACCUGGAUUACUGCUCACUUCAAGACACCAUCCUGAAGGAGAACUUUCUGGAGCCACUGUCAUCCUUACAGUCUCUUGACCUGUUUGGUAACCAGAUAAAGACUCUCCAGCCUGCAAUGUUCUUCGCAAACAUGACUCAUUUGAACGUUUUUAAUCUAAAAUUGAACAAAAUUGACAGAAUAUGUGAGUCUGAUCUGGUUGGUUUCCAGGGGAAGAACUUUGAGUUUCUCAACUUGGGCUCUGUUCACCUUAAGGCUAUGUUAAAUGAACGUUUUAACUGGCAGAAAUGUGGGAAUCCUUUCAGAGGAAUGUCCUUUCAGACACUCGAUCUGUCCAACAACGGGUUCAGUGUUGGUAAAUCUAAGCAUUUCUUCUCAGCCAUUAAGGGAACUAAGAUCUCCCACCUCAUUAUGUCAGGACACAUGGGUAAAGGGUUUUCCUUCAAUAACCUCCCUGAUCCAGACCGGAGCACGUUUCAAGGACUAAAUGAGAGCUCAAUCCGCACUUUGGAUCUGUCUAAAAACAGGAUAUUUGCAUUGCAACAGGGGGUUUUUAGUCCACUGAAAGAAGUCACAAUCAUUGACGUUUCCCAAAACAGAGUGAAUCAGAUACACAGAAAUGCCUUUGAAGGUCUUCAGGGAAAUGUAAAAAUGCUCAACCUGUCACACAACCUACUGGGGGAAAUCCACUCUCACACUUUUGCUUCUCUGACAAACCUGGAAGUGUUAGACUUGUCUUACAACCACAUUGGUGCUCUUGGUUAUGGCGCAUUUAGUGGCCUUCCCAAAUUAAAAGCACUGUAUCUAACAGGAAACUCAUUGCGUGACCUCGGCUUCCCUGCGUCCCUCCCUAGUUUAGAUUACCUCCUGUUGAAAGACAAUAAACUGACGUCAAUGAGCAGUAUUGCACGAUUAUCCGGUAAUGUCAUGCAUCUGAACAUUCAGGACAACAGAUUAACAAACCUUGGGGAUGUUCACAUGUUGUUUACUCAGUUAAAGCGCCUGAAGCAUCUUCUCUACGGAGGAAACACAAUCAGGAGGUGCAUGCUCAGUGGACGAGCUUCAGCAAUUGGUUUAAACGAAGUCCAAGUUCUGGAUCUUUACAGCAGCUCCCUGCAGGCUGUCUGGUCUCAGGGGAGAUGCUUGAACUUGUUUGACAAUCUUGGACAUAUGAUUGGUGUCGACUUGAGACUCAACGCGCUGAAGUCUCUUCCUCAAGGCAUUUUUAAGGGCCUCACAUCAGUAGUGGAGAUAGAUCUCUCCUCCAACAGCUUGACUUAUCUCCACAAUGAUGUCUUACCCAAAAGUCUCAAAAUACUCAACCUCUCCAACAACUUUGUAGCCUCCCCGGACUCCACUGCUUUCCGCUUUCUCAGCUUCCUCGACUUAAAUAUGAACAGAUUUCACUGCGAUUCAAACCUGAAGAGCUUCCUGAAUUGGCUGAACAAGACCAACGUGACCUUCCUGAGUCCUGUUGAGGAUCUCAGGUGUGAAUAUCCUUCUGGUUUCUAUAAAGUUCCUCUGUUAGAUUACUCCACUCAGGUCACACAGCAGUAAAAGCAACAGUGAACAAGUAUGAACAUCAAGUGCCAUGUAAUGUUCAUUUGAGUUUAUCACAUGGUGUUUUCUCUUGAAUGUAAUUUUGAAUGAAAAGUUUGUUAAAUCCAUUUUAUUAAUCACCUCCGUGUAGACCAUAUCAUACAUUUGUAUAUUAAAAUGUCUAAUUUUAUAUGAUUUUGUAAAAUGAAAUCAAUGUGUUGCUUAAUCUACUGCAACAACGCAUUUCUAACAGAUGUACUUUAUAAAAAACUUUUUAUUUGAUUAGGUACUUUUGAAGGUAUCCUUACUUCCUUUUGCAUUUGUAGUCACCAAAUCACCGCUCAAGCAUGUGACCAUCAAAAAUCAAUACAAAGUAGUUCUUUUUUAAAAUAUUUUUACAGUAUAAAAGUAAUUUGUUACAACUAAAAGUAAUGCAUUUAAAGCUGUGUUAAAGUACCACCAUUUUUACUUUGACUUAAAGUAGCCUAACUGUAAAUGACGUAACGAAGUUGCCUUAAUUAAAAGGAGUAACAAGGUUAAUGUCAUAGUUCAAUUGGAUAAAUGAAUACUUUAUUUCAUGUUAUUUAUAAUCGUUAAAUAUGGCAUGAUUUAAUACAGUUUGUUUUACAUCUUGGGCCGAUAUGCGUAUGUGUUUCUUGUGCCUAGGAACUAAUGUUUGUUCAUGUGCUGGUACUGCGUGUUUUGCUGUUAAACUGUACAACUCCAUGUGGGUUGACGUCUUUUUGAAGCUCUGCUGAGGUCUGUGAUAAAGUUUAGUGUGACGGGAGGUCUGUGACGAAGUUAUGCAGAAAAGGAACUAAAUUAAUCUCCUUUCACGACAAGCGGCCAACGAGUUCUCACGGCGUAACGGAAGAGGGAAGGCUACAGGAUGAAAACUCCCAAGAAAUAAACGCCCGUUUUAAAGAACCGACCUGUGUCUGUGUCGUGAAAAGAGCUACACUAACAAAAAAGAAGCCUAAUAAUCAUGUAAAAUAGCUGUUAAAAACACAAAACAAAAAUAAUGUAAUAUUAAUGUGUUUAUCAGUGUAAUGUUGCAGCUUGUAAAGGUGAGGACAUUUUUGUGCUGUGUGGCUUAAUCAAUAGUAAUCGUCUGAAUAAUAAUGAUCAUUAUCAUCAUAUAAAAGUGCAUUCCCAUCAUUAUACCAACAGAGGGAGCUGCAGAACAAGCCUCCAAGCUUUUCGGUUUACCCCCUUGCGACUGCUCCAACAUUUAAACACAGUCACCAGCUUUCUGUUGAACCAGCAGCAGCAGACAUUCAUUCAUCAUUUACCAUUUAGAGUCGGCAUUAUUUUGUACAGUGAUAGUAGUUCAUGUGAUGCUGUAGCUGUGUGACCUGAAUUAAAUAUGCUGUCUACCCUAAUUCAUGGCAGCCCACAAUCUGUACAAUAAGGAGGAUUUUAACUAUAACAGCACCCACUGUAAACAGAGGUUUAAGGAACAAAGUAAGAUGAACACAGAUGUGUUUAUACAUUUUCAUACCAAACAACGAUCAUCAUUAGUUCAUUAGGGAAUGGGUUUUCAGCCCACUGUAACUCAAGAUACUGUAUUUUUGUCAUUAAAUACUUCAUGUACUGUGUUUUACUGCAGUAAAUGUGCUCAU